CGAGGGUAUCUUGUUGGAGAUUCCUGUGUAUGUGAGGUGUUCUAAAGGUGUACCGAUAGCCCAUGAACCCAUUCACUGGAGGGUACAGAGGCAGCAAAUGUUCUUGGGAAUCAGAAGGAGAAUCACAAGCUGUGUGGAUAACCAGAACAUAAAAUGAGAUACAGACCUCCUCGGGCCAGGUCCAGGACGUGAGAAGAGCUUCUCCAUGAAAUACUGAUCAGGGAGAGUCAUCUUACUGGCUAUGAUGUCCAGACUGGAGGGGAGACACCUCUGAUCCCAUCUUACCUUGCAGUUUCUAUCUGUCUAUGGCAAAUCAAAUAGCUUCCUAUUGCUUGUGUUAAGGAACAAUCCGUGUUAGUUACAUUCUCUGGUUACAAAGCACCCGUAUUUUCAACAGAUAUCAUAAAAAGAACUUGUGAUCAAUAAGCCCUGCCUUGCCCAGGGAGCUUUGGGUCUGUCUUUUCUGCUGCUGCUUUCUCCCUACUCUCCCUCCACAUUUGUAUAUUUGUUUGUACACAGGUUUACUGCAUCUUGAUUUGAUUCAUGAAUAAUAUACUUGUUGGGAUAUCUGUGUAUGUUCUCUUUCCUCAUGGGCUGUAUCCUGGCCUGAUUUGUGUCUUCUCCUGGGCAGUUUUCUCAGUAUUAUGGACAGCUCAGAAAUUCAUUGCAGAAGAUACAAAAUAAUUGUAGCAAAUAAGAGAAAUACACGACGUAAGAAAAUGAUUGCUUCUCUGUAAGUUUCUCACUCAAAGGAACACCAUGCUUCUAGUACUGAAAUGGAACUUUAUGCUUUUUGCAGUGUAUAUUUACUCUUAAUAGAAUAUUGAAAAUUAAAAAAAACCUUAUCGUGAAUAUCCUAAACAAAAUAAGUUUAACAACAACUGUCUUUUAAAACUUAAAUCUGGAAGACUUUCAUGGAUUUUGUACAUAAUGACACUUUCACACCUAAAAAUAUAUCAAGAUUGAUAGAAUAAAAAUCGCUGUUUACAGUCAGAAUAUUUAGUGGGAAAAAAACUUGGAUUGCAACAAUUUAAUAUCAUUCAAAUUUCUGUUAAGCUGCAAUAUUUUCAUGACUUUUGUUUAUCUUCUGAUGUACACAGCACUGUUAUCUCAUAGCAAAGCGUUCUUAUUGCAGUGAUAAUUAAAAAAUGCUUUAUUUUCAUAGAAGCAAAGUAUCAUACUACAUAACAUUGCCACAGCCUGUCAAAGGUAUGAGAUAUCGUACCUUGACAGUACUUCAGUGUAUUUUUAUA